AUUGUGCAUCAUUAAUAUGAGAAAUAAAUCGACUGUAUAUAUAUAUAGGAGACACCCAAGGUCUUAAAAUACAAACAUUCUUUUUUCAUUCUUUAAAGUAUUAUUCACAAAUCUCUCUUCUCAUACUAUUAAGGUAUUACGACGAUGCUGCUUGUGUGCUAAGAAAAAUGUGUUUAGACGCAAAGGCUUCUCAUCUUUCAUCGACUCUGCCACCCACUUUGCCUUGGAAGUUCAAUAAACCUGUACAGCCUAAUAAAGGACUAACCCGCCAAGGCAAUGGGCACUCAGAAGAGCUACGUUGUGUCAUUGCUGUUAUUCGACAGUAUGUUUUCUUAGCAUAUAAAUCACCUUUAUCUCUUCUAUACUUCUAUCUGUUAAAAUUUUGUUAUUACAUGACAAUGGCGAUCGAACUCCAAAACAUAAGGUGAAACUAAAUGUUACAGAGGAGAAACUGUUAAACCUGAUGCUGAAGUACAAUGGUGGAAAGCCAAGAGCUGAGACAAAACUAAAAAGUGCAUUCCAGUUGCAAGACCUAUUAGAUGCAACAAGAAUGUUAGUUCCCCGUACAAGACCAGGUCGUGAGAGUGAUAGUGAUCCAGAAGACCUUGAACAUGCUGAGAAGCUUCGUCAAGUUAAAGCAGUUCUUGAAGAGGUUCUUUAGUACUUUCUCUUUUUUUUUUUUUGAAUAUAGUCCGGGAAAAAUAUUACAUAGUAUCAUUUUUUUUGUUGAAUAUAUUAUCUUAUAAGUAAGCUCGCAUUAUGCAUUUUUUAUUUAAUUCAUGAGGUUAUUUUCUCAGAGCAGAGAAUCUUUUGGAAUGGCGCAGGGAGGAAAUUUCUCAGGGAUAUACAUGAAGGUUCAACUGAAGCCGCUGAAGUGGGAUGGUGAAGGCGAAGAAGAAAAACCCGUAGAGGCCCUUAUGAUUCUUAAAUACGGCAGUGUUCUAACUCACGCUGGUAGAAAACAGGUGUUUACAUACUCUACCAUUUAAUUUGUCAUUGUUAUAUAUAUAUAUAUAUACAUAUAUAUAUAUAUAUACAUAUAUGUUUUCCAAAUAUGGAAGAAUUGUUUAACAUAUAUGUUUGCUUUAUAUAUAUAUACAUAUAUGUUUUCCAAUACUCAUCAUGUGUUUACUAAUAAUGUUUUUUUAUCUUUCUUGCUUCUCAAGGUUUCUUUGGUCGCAAGGACUCUUCCAUGUUGGAUGGUCUUGAUACUGCCAGCAUUGAAAUGGAAGCUGCCAUGGUUUGUCCCAUGAUUUGAGUCAUUUUUUAAAGUGUGUGUAUCAGUCAAUCAACAAGAUUGAUUUCAUUAUAAUUGAACUAUAUAUGCAGGCUAGAUUGAAUAAGAUUGCAACGUCUGGCAAAAAAAUGAUCAAUGAAUUACUACUAUUUAUUAUUAUCAAAUCAUAGUAGUAAUUAUCAAAUUAAAUAUGCAAAAGGCAAAAUAAAAAGAGAGAGGCAUAACAUAAAAUAAGUUAGCAUAUUAAAUUACAAAUAAGCCAAAAUAUUUCAAAGAAGUCAAACAACCUAGAAAAUUAAAAAUCGAACCAGCUACCUUUUUUUAUUAGACCGGAUAUUAGUUCCACCAAUAAUAGUGGUCAACUUACCCACAUGGUGCAUAUAUGUCAAAUGGACAAAUCUACGUUUAAGUAACCCAACCUGUAAGGGAUUUUGAUUUUUUUGGUGAAUCUCGUGGACUGAUCUAUCGCAGAUUGGGGUUCAUAGGUGAAGUUUCAAAAAAUCAUUAUAAUUUGAUUGGUCAAUUGUUUUUAAUUUUUAUUUAUUUAAUUUAGAUCUAAAAAUUUAAGAUAAGUCUAAAAUCAUUUAACAUCACUUGCCAUAUAAUCAUACGAAUAUUACAAAUAACAAUUUAUGGAAACUAUUCUCGAAAUUAUAGAAAGAUUAAUAAUGUUUUAUUUAUUACUUUUAAUAUUUAUAACA